ACCCUGCAUUGGCAGGCGGACUCUCAACCACUGUGCCACCAGGGAAGUCCCUAAAGAGAGUUUUAAAAUUAAUUUUCAAAACAGGUAACACAUGCACGUUUCAAUAUUCAAGAGUAACAAAAGGGGCUGCAAAGAAAAUCUCCCUAGGGAAUUCCCUGGUGGUCCAGUGGUUAGGACUCUGCGCUUUCACUGCCGAGGGCCCAGAUUCAAUCCCUGGUUGGGGAACUAAGACCCCACAAGCCACGCAGCAAAGCCAAAAGGAAAAAAGAAAAUCUCCCCUCACACCCAGGUCUCCUGCCAUCCUGAUCCCCCCCACGCCGGGUAAACAAAAUGAUCAGUUUUGUGUGUCCUUCGGAGCGAUCUGAUGCAUGUAUACACAAAUAUGUAUACAUUUUUAUGUGUAUAUGUAUUCCCCCCUUUGUUAUGCUUUGAUUUUUUAUUUAAGACAGCUUAAAGAGUGUUCCAUGUUGGUACCAAAGACGUCCUCAUUCUUUCUUACAGCUGCCUAGUGUUUCAUUCUAUGACUCCACCGUAUCUGACCAGUCACCUACUGAAGGGGCGUUUAUGUUACUUCCAACUAUUGUAAUCACAAACAAAGCUGCAGUGGGAAAUGUUGUGCAUUAUUUUACUGUUGUCUGUAGGAUUAAAUCUCCUGAAGUAGAACGGCUGGGACAGAGUACGUGCUAGAUCCUGGCAGAGCUGCCUCCCAACACGCUGGAGACUGCCUCCCCCUCUCCCCACCCCUGGGCUGGUUUGAAGGGAGCUCAGGUGUAGCCAGGCCAGGAGGAAGGGGGGAGCCAUUCCCAAGGGAAGCCCACGGCAGGAAAACACAGAUGAGGCACGUGGGGACUGUCCUGCGACCUCGGCUGGUAACACAGACCUCUCCCCCGAGUAAGGGUGCAAGCAGAGGGGGCCUCUGCCCACCACAACAGGAAGAGCUGGGGCCUGAGAGUUUGAGGAUUCUGGGCCCAAGUCUGCCACCUCAGCUUGACAGGUGGCCUUCAGCAGGCCACUUUCAUAAUGAUAAUGGCUCUCUCCAGGCACAGUGCUAAGCACUUUGCAUGUGUCACCUCCCGCAGCCUGAAAAGGCUGGAACGUCUGCAGCCUGAGCUCAGAGAGGUUAGGGAACCCACUCAAGGUGGUCCAGCUCUUAAAUGACAGAGCGCGGAUAUGAAGCCAGACUCAACACUGUGUUUCACGGCCUUGAAUUAACCCUCAGCGAGGUAAGGCAGCGAGACCCUGACUAAGCCUCUUCCAGCUCAGAAAGUCACGUGGCCUGUGACUACACAGGGAGGGGUUCAAUCAAAGAGGAGCUAACUGCAGGUGGGGGUGGAGAUAUGGAGCCCCCUUCACAGAGACGGCCAGGUCCAGCCCCACUUCUUGCAGGAAGACCUGAAUGGGAGAGAGAGAGGGAGAGGGAGAGAGGCCCCAGCAGGCGUACACGCAGCAGAGCCCAGCACCGCCCUGCCCGCCUCUGGCCGCCAGUGCACAGGGAUGCGGUGGCCUGGAACGCCCUCUGGUGGCACGCUCCGCAGCCUGGCCUGGGAAGGCUGGGCCCAGGGGAGGAGGGGCCACCUACUUUCCACCACGACCGUCUGUGGGCCCAAGCGGGCCCGCGGCUUCUCCCGGGGGUGGGUACUUCCGUGGAGGGAAGCCAGCUUAAUAAUAGUAACAAUGAGUCGCCCUCAAAAAGGGUCACAAAGAGACUGAUAAAAGGAGGGAAAGGAUUCUUGAAGCCGUGGAGUCAUCAUUAGAGUCAUGGAAAGAUGUCCAAGUCCCCCAAGUGUCCUCCCCACUGUGACCAGGGACAUCCUUGCAUUUGCCUCUGUUGACAUCUUUGCACCUUUUCAGGGCUGUCCUGUUUGCGCCUGCUGCCCCACCACCAUGGGCUGAGCCGUCCCUGCCUAUGAGCCUCACUGAGCACAAGGCCACAGAGCCUGUGAUGAGAUGCAGAGCCAUAGCAAGGACAGGGGCUCUUGAGGCUGUCGAAUUGUUCAUUCGUUUGUCUAUUCGAUAAAUAUUUAUGGAGCUCUGCUAUGUGCCGGCCACAUGGGCCCUGGGGAUGCAGAAAUUAAUGACAGGCAAGGAAUUGAGAUUCUAGGUGAGGCAGGCAAGAAAGAAACAAGGUAAGACGUGUGGUCAAAAGUGCCUUGAAGACUACACAACAGGCGGAGGUGCCGGAGUUUGAGGAGACUGUUUUCAGACGGGGUGGGCAGGAAGGCCUGUCAGGUAAGGGACACCUUAAUGCUGAGGACACAGGACUGGGGAGAGCAGGCAGGGGAAACUUCAGGUAAAAGAUGGGGGCUGGGGACCACAUACGCUUGAAGGUGUGCCAGGGGUUUGGAUUUGAUUCUGGGGGCCGAGGAAGUUACUGGAGUGCUUUGAGCCAGGAUGGCGUGAUCUGACUUGCAAUCUUAGUAGGUCAUUCCAUCUGCUUCUUGGAGCACAAACGAUAGGAAGGGUGAAGGUGGAAGCAGGGAGGCAGCCACAGGGAGACUCCAGGCCUCCGGAUACAGAGGGAUGGUUGCCGAACCAGGGUGGGGAGGGGUCAGGUUCUGAUGAACCUGAGAGGCCGGUUGGACAGGACCGGCUGGUGGGCUGUCUGGUGGGGAGGGGAUGGUGGAGACCAGGCUGGUGCCUCCCCGUCCCCCCACCCUCACCCCUUCCAGCCUGGGGAUGGGGCCACUGAGUCAUCUCCCUCAGGUCACUUAGUGGAGGGGCAAAGGACCCUAGACUCCAUUGCCAGAGGCCCCCAGGGCUGUAGCUUGGUGUGUUCAGAGGCUUGGGACCUGGGGCCAGAGGGGCUUCCAGCCUCAAAGAGCUUUUAUCUCUUCCCCUCCAUCUGCAGUCUCUCUCUUUCUCCUCCCAAUCUCUCUCUCCCUCUCUCUUUCUCCCUCUCUCCCUUCCCUCUCUAGCUCUUGCACACACACACACACACACACACACACACACACACACACACACGCAGUUUACUGCAGCCUUAUGGGAAGGAAGCCUCCAGCAGAGACAAAGGGUCUCCAGGGACAGAGCCAGAGGAGCUGACUGUGGAGUUGUGCAAGGAGGGGAGGCAGCCUCUGCUGCCUUUCACAUUCUACCUCCUGCUCUUGCUGCCUCCACGCCACCCUCUCGGCUCCUGCAGCAUUUCCCCCAAGACCCAGGAUUCUCAGCUGGAGGCAGUUUUGUCUCCUUGGGUCAUUUGGCAAUAUCUGGAAACAUUUUUGGUUAUCAUAAUUGAAGAGGGUCGGCCUCUAGUGGGUGGAGGCCAGGGAUGCUGCUAAAUCCUUCGAGGCACAGGAUGGCCCACCCACAACAAAAAAAUGAUCUGGCCCCAAAUGUCAACAGUGCUGAGGUUGAGAGCCCGGAAGAGACUGUCCUCUUGAUCGCAGUCACACUCCCGUCACACUGCCAUUUACCAGGCGAUCUCUCUGUGACCACACGGCGCCUGCGUUAUCUCUUGCAGCCUCUCGCUACACUGGAAGGUAGGAAGCCACUGAGGCUGGAACUAAGGGAAUGUGGCCAUGAGUGGGGGACAGGGGAGAGAGAUGGGCUAGAGGGCCCAGGGCCCUCUAGGUAAGGCUUGGGAUUUUAUUCCAAGUCAACUAGGAAGGCUUCCAAGGUUCUAAUAUGCAUUUUCAAAAGAUCACAGUAGCCCCAAAGCAGCUCUUCUCCCUACCCCAAAUGAUAGAUUCAGGAUAUAUUUUCGAGGAUGAAUCAAAACAACUUGCCAACGUAUUGGGCAUGGGGGAAGGGACGGGAGGAGACCUAGAGGGCUCCUAGGUUUGGAGCCUAUGCAACCAGUUACAUGGAAACUGUUCUCAGUUGAAAGGGCUCAGUUUAGGGGUCAGACAGGCCCAGAUUUUAAUCCUCAACCUCUUCAAGCCUCAGUUUUCUGUUCUGAAAAAUGGGAGCAAAUGACAGGUGCACAUAACGGGUAUUAAUUAUAGCUUGUCCUUUGACCAAAGAGUUUACAGAUAUCUAGAAAAAUAGUAUUCUGUUUGAGGUCACAUUGCUAGACUAAGCAACUCUAAGUUUUAUCAGACAGAAAAACAAGAAAACAAAGAAAGGGGUUCUGGAGGCUGACCUAACACCCAGUUCAAAUCUGGGCUCUGAGCCUCACCUUCUUACCGGUAAAGUAGAAAUAUGUCAUCUUGCUACCCCAAAACUGGGUUCGCCUCUCGUUGGGUGUUGAGCCAAAAGAAACAACCAAGCCAAAGAAAGGAAGAAGGAAGGAUUUAUCACUUACAACAAGUAAGGAGAACACUGGGGAUUUUUCCCAAAGCAGUGUCUCCCCAACAGCAAAAUUGGGGAAGUUUUAAGCUAAAGGUACAUGCAUAUUUAUGAAGGGGCCUGGGCAGUCCAAACUUUAGUUGAUUGAAGUCAGGAGGGUCAACAUCACCAUUCCCUCUUCCACCUGGGUGGGGGCCUUAGUUCCUGCAGAAUGCAAAAACAUAAUCAGAUUGUUACGUAUCCCCUUGAGGAGGAACUGGGACUGUUUUAUCACUGAGCUAUAUUGUUUCAUGGCUGCUUUUCCUUUGUUCUGCAUUCCGUCACCUCCCUUAAGGUCACUGAUUACUGAGACCUGUUCAAGGGCAAGCUUUGUGCCCCAGGCUUAGAUCACAAAAUGAUUUAGGCCAAAAAUGGCUUCUUUUAUGUCAAGAAAGCCAUGCCCGGUUCUCCCUAUCCGGGACCCCUUACCCUAUCUGCCUACAAUUUCUAUCUCCUGAGCCUGAGCUGAUUGAAUGAGAUUUGCAUGUUGAGCAGCUAACACAGUGCCUGUCACAUAAUUGCACUCAGGAAAUGAGGGGAGUGUGGGACGCAACAAGACACCAUCCUGACCUCUAAGCCCCCAUCUUCUGCUGGGGACAUGUACCAGCUACAACAUGGAGAAUGACAUCAAUUAUGUAGUAGUUUCAUCUGUGGUCUGACAUCAUCCCCCACAACCAUGCUGAAGUUUGUCAGUGUUUUGCAGAUGAGAAACAGCUCCAGAAAAGUGAAGGAAUCAGCCCCAAAGCCCACAUUUCAAAGCCUGGGGUUACAAACUGAUUUAGUGCAGCCUGCUAGGUUAGGAACACUUUCUGUGUUUUUAAGUGAAAGAAAAAAAUGUAUAAAAAGAAAAUUUUCUUGACACCUGAGAAUUACAAGAAAUUCAAAUCAGCUGCCAUAAACAAAGGCUUAUGGGAACACAGCCCCGCUCAUUAGUUUACCAUCCUCCAUGGUUGCUUUUGCUACAAGGGCAGAGUAGAAUAGUUGUGACAGAGAACGCCUGGUCUAGAAAGCCUAAAAUAUUUAUCAUCUGGCCCUUCUUAGAAAAAGUAUGCUGACCUCUGCUGGGAAGCACAGCUGCACUGCAACUGUUCUGCCCCCAAGGAUGCAGAAACGAUAAAUACCAUCCGAGAUAACCCAGGGUCCACCUGAAGGCUGCCAGGAGGGAAGAGUUUCAAAUCCGGAGAAGGAGCCCGAUCCUCCAUCACCGAGACUCUGAUUCCCACAAGCCCGGGCACAGCUAAUCUGACUCCCGUUCUGCGACCACCCUGCCAUGGUGCUGUCAGGAGCCCACAGUCCUCAUCAGAAAACUGCUGAUUCUCAGCCUCUUCUCUGCACGUUCUCUUCCCCUUCCUGGCCUGAAACCUGCCCUCCCCUGCCCACCACCCCAGGACCCUGUUCCCUUACUGUCCCCUCAAGGGAAGCUGUUAAUUUUCCCAGGUACUCUCGGUAGAUCAGGGUCUAGGGGGUAAGGUCACUCCGUUGCUUUCUCCUUGUGGAGCUUUGCAA